rnacentral:rRNA from 1 species
UGCAAGUCGAGCGGUAUCACAGGGUAGCUUGCUCCCGGGUGACGAGCGGCGGACGGGUGAGUAAUGUCUGGGAAACUGCCUGAUGGAGGGGGAUAACUACUGGAAACGGUAGCUAAUACCGCAUAACGUCGCAAGACCAAAGAGGGGGACCUUCGGGCCUCUUGCCAUCAGAUGUGCCCAGAUGGGAUUAGCUAGUAGGUGGGGUAACGGCUCACCUAGGCGACGAUCCCUAGCUGGUCUGAGAGGAUGACCAGCCACACUGGAACUGAGACACGGUCCAGACUCCUACGGGAGGCAGCAGUGGGGAAUAUUGCACAAUGGGCGCAAGCCUGAUGCAGCCAUGCCGCGUGUAUGAAAAAGGCCUUCGGGUUGUAAAGUACUUUCAGCGGGGAGGAAGGUGUUGAGGUUAAUAA